AUGACGGAUGAAAUCCACUCAUCAGUGACAUAAGAUCUCAAACAGUUAUCUGAAUUCAUCUCAACCUAACCCCUGUGAACAGAGCAGGUCCUCCCACUGAAGAACAGUCACAGGAAAGUUAGUGUGAACAUGUUGACUUGGACAGAAACACAUUCAUUUGGGUGAUUGUUGUGUAAAUGUUAAUCCAGGAACCUGCUGCUGUUGUGAAACACAUUAACACAGGAAUAAUUAAUUACAUUUUUAAAACCAUCUUCCACUGUUUUUGUGUUGUAGUACUUUAAGUUUGUGUUGUCUGUUGUUUGAAGCAUGUGAUCAGGUGUUUUGUUGCUCUACCAGCAACAUGUUCAGUCAGUUUGAUGACAUGAUGUGCACACACCUCGAAGUAUUAACAUAUUAAGAAGUAUUUAAUAUGUUAGUGUUGACGUUUUAGUUUUCAUACCAAACACCAAACUGUCUGGACUGUGAUAUGAAACCAGAGCAUUUUGACAGUAACACAUCAUCAAACUAAAAGUGUACCACUAUGUAUGCAGGUGAAAAGGGACAGAUUUUUGUAGUAUUUUUUUCUGACUUUGUCGGAUAUUAAAACCUUUUACAAACAUCUGUCUCAUCUUGUUCUGUGUCAUUUGAUCCGUUUUGUUGUUUUUAUCUGUUUUAUUAAAGUUGAUUUAUUAUAUCAAUUAUAAUUAGACUUAGAUUCUUAAAUGACAUGUAGAUAAAUUUGACCGUUAUAUAAAAUCCAGAUGUCCUGACCCUCCUGCUGAAGAGAUUUACCUUUGAUUACCAUUGGCAGCGUUACGUCAAAGUACAUUGCAAAGCUGAUGUGCCACAAACUUUGUCCAUGGAGGUAUUUCAUACGCUACAAAGCAGCCACUUGUUUUAAAUUAACAGUAAUACUAUCACAAAAUGUGAUGGCUUUGUUUUAUUGCCCUCCCUUCAGCAGUGCACGUAUGAGCUCUACGCUGUGGUUAACCACUCUGUUAACCACCAGUCGACAGCCAUUCAGGACUCAAGAAGAAUCCCUGAGGUCUCGUACAGCUUACCUCCUCAUGUACAGGAAAGAGUCUUCAUGUUCUCUACGUUUGGAAAGGUGUUUGCUGAGUUCAACAGAAUCGCAAGUAAGAAUCUUGGAGGAGAUUUCUUUGAGGCUCUGGACCAGUAUACCCCGUGUUUCAUUGAACUUCAAAACAAAAAAGGGAACUGUUGGCUAGAAGCUCGGUGAGCUGAUGCAGCACAUGAGCUGGAUGACACCAGGCGUGACAGUACUUCGCUCUGUUGUCCUCGAAGGCAUUCCUAUUUUACUUGGUGACGACUCCAAUGAAUUCUCCAGGGCAUGCUCUGAUACAGCGAGAGAUGAGGCCCUAGAAUGCACUGUUGGUGUGCCGACAGUUGUCAGUGAAGAUAUGUGAAGAUGUGAAGAUAAUCCUCAUGAGGGUCCAAGUUCAGCAGAACUCCAGCCCAUCUCCACUGCCAUCAUUCUGGAGGGAGGUAUCGUUAUGGAUCGUAUUAAAAACUUGCCUCAGGCAGUUUGUCUGUUAUUUGGGCUUACAUAGGCUAACAUAGGUAAUAACAGCUAAAUAGAUAAGAAAUGGGAUAGAGAGAGAGAAGGACAAGGACCCAUUCAAGGAAAUUGGUUUGUUUAAUUUAAGUGAACUAAAAAAAAAAAAAGUGAGUAGUAAGUAGUAGGUAUUUAGUUAUUAUAAGUAGGGUUAAAUUUGUAUCAAGCAGUCCACACAAAAUGAAAAAAAAAAUAAGUUAACACUGCAUUGCUAUGAAGUUCUAUGAACUUUCUUAAUUUUUUUGAGGCAACAAGUUUGCAUACUUUAAGUAAGGUCAACUAAUUAGAUUUUACAUUGUGUAACAUUAGUGUUGUGUUGCUUUGAUAGAACUGCAUCAUCACAGCCUAGCCUCCUGCCAAGUUGGCUUAUGACUGACUGACUGAAAUGAGAAAAUGGGUAUUUUAAAAUAGUAUUAAAAUUGUUAUUACAUAUUAUGGAGAACUAAUCUUUUACUUUUUUGUGAAUUAUGUCUA